CCUACGGUGGGCAGCAGUAGGGAAUCUUCCACAAUGGACGAAAGUCUGAUGGAGCAACGCCGCGUGAGUGAAGAAGGGUUUCGGCUCGUAAAGCUCUGUUGGUAGUGAAGAAAGAUAGAGGUAGUAACUGGCCUUUAUUUGACGGUAAUUACUUAGAAAGUCACGGCUAACUAGGUGCCAUCAGCCGCGGUAAUUCGUGGGUGGCAAGCGUUGUCCGGAUUUAUUGGGCGUAAAGCGAGUGCAGGCGGUUCAAUAAGUCUGAUGUGAAAUCCUUGGGCUCAACCGGAGAAUUGCAUCAGAAACUGUUGGACUUGAGUGCAGAAGAGGAGAGUGGAACUCCAUGUGUAGCGGUGGAAUGCGUAGAUAUAUGGAAGAACACCAGUGGCGAAGGCGGCUCUCUGGUCUGCAACUGACGCUGAGGCUCGAAAGCAUGGGUAGCGAACAGGAUUAGAUACCCGAGUAGUC
rnacentral:rRNA from 1 species